GAUGAACGCUGGCGGCGUGCCUAAUACAUGCAAGUCGAGCGAACAGACGAGGAGCUUGCUCCUCUGACGUUAGCGGCGGACGGGUGAGUAACACGUGGAUAACCUACCUAUAAGACUGGGAUAACUUCGGGAAACCGGAGCUAAUACCGGAUAAUAUAUUGAACCGCAUGGUUCAAUAGUGAAAGACGGUUUUGCUGUCACUUAUAGAUGGAUCCGCGCCGCAUUAGCUAGUUGGUAAGGUAACGGCUUACCAAGGCAACGAUGCGUAGCCGACCUGAGUGGGUGAUCGGCCACACUGGAACUGAGACACGGUCCAGACUCCUACGGGAGGCAGCAGUAGGGAAUCUUCCGCAAUGGGCGAAAGCUUGACGGAGCAACGCCGCGUGAGUGAUGAAGGUCUUCGGAUCGUAAAACUCUGUUAUUAGGGAAGAACAAAUGUGUAAGUAACCAUGCACGUCUUGACGGUACCUAAUCAGAAAGCCACGGCUAACUACGUG
rnacentral:rRNA from 1 species